rnacentral:rRNA from 1 species
CCUACGGGUGGCAGCAGUGAGGAAUAUUGGUCAAUGGUCGGGAGACUGAACCAGCCAAGCCGCGUGAGGGAUGAAGGUACAGAGUCUCGUAAACCUCUUUUGUCAGGGAACAAAGGCGGGGACGUGUCCCCGGAUGAGUGUACCUGAAGAAAAAGCAUCGGCUAACUCCGUGCCAGCGGCCGCGGUAAUACGGAGGAUGCGAGCGUUAUCCGGAUUUAUUGGGUUUAAAGGGUGCGCAGGCGGUCUGUUCAGUCAGCGGUAAAAGCCCGGGGCUCAACCCCGGCCCGCCGUUGAAACUGGCAGUCUCGAGUGGGAGAGAAGUAUGCGGAAUGCGCGGUGUAGCGGUGAAAUGCAUAGAUAUCGCGCAGAACUCCGAUUGCGAAGGCAGCAUGCCGGCUCCACACUGACGCUGAGGCACGAAAGCGUGGGUAUCGAACAGGAUUAGAUACCCCUGUAGUC